GACGGAGGAUGCAAGCGUUAUCCGGAAUUAUUGGGCGUAAAGCGUCCGCAGGUGGCAGUUCAAGUCUGCUGUCAAAGACCGGGGCUUAACUUCGGAAAGGCAGUGGAAACUGAACAGCUAGAGUAUGGUAGGGGCAGAGGGAAUUCCUGGUGUAGCGGUGAAAUGCGUAGAGAUCAGGAAGAACAUCGGUGGCGAAGGCGCUCUGCUGGACUAUAACUGACACUCAGGGACGAAAGCUAGGGGAGCGAAUGGG
rnacentral:rRNA from 1 species